rnacentral:lncRNA from 1 species
ACCUGAAAAUGGGCCCUAGUUCCUGGAAGGUCCUCAUAACCCUGCUCCCUCCAGAUCUGCAGCAGCCUCAGCCACCUGUUGCCUGGACGCCGGGGCAUGGCUUCAAAGGGCAGCACUGUCCUGGGGACCCGGGCGGCUCUCGUGCCCAGUGCCUGUGCCCUUUGCAGGGACAGCCAGGGCACUGCCAUGCACACCUCUGCCUUUGCCCUGAGUGCUCAUAACCCUGCUCCCUCCAGAUCUGCA